ensembl:snRNA U6 U6 spliceosomal RNA
GUGCUCACUGCAGCAGCACGUACACUAAAACUGGAAUAAUGCAGAGAAGAUUGGCGCAGCCCCUGUGCAAGGAUGAUGUGCAAGUUCGUGAAGUGUUCCAUUUUUUU